CAAAAUUUGGGUUUUGUUUUGGUUUCGCGCUCCUCCUUAGAAAAUUCAUUUAGGUUUUCCUUCUCCGAAGCAUUGGUCUCCAUUUGUGUGCCCUUUUUCUGGUUUUUACUUCUAAGGUGCUUCAAUCGGCGCUUCCAUCGCCGGUGCCGCUCCCAAUCGAGUCUCUCGAUCGUGAGUUUCAGGUAAGGGUUUUCUAUUUUGAUCUCACUUAAGUGAGGGUUUUUCUAUUUUGAUUUCACGUUUUCAUCUUGAAGUGCAUUGUGGUGUUAAGUAAUUCCUAUAGUCCUUACAUUCAUUUUAGAUGAUUGCCAUAACUAGAAGAUUAUUUUCUGUCCAAAUACUUUAUCAUUUUAGAUGUGGGAACCAAAGACAAAAAAUUGUAUAAUUGAGUUUUUGGUGGGUUUUAUGGGCUUAAGGUUGAUUUGGGUUAGAAAAGAAAUAACAUUGUGUUGUAGUCAUUUAAUGCACAUAUUAGACGUGAGUAUUAGAGAAUCUAACCCAACUUCUCAAUCUGCCUCUCUUUGCAAGUUUUUCCUUUUUUUUUGUGUGUUUCUCCUGGGAAUGAGAUCAGGAAUGUAGUUCUCUUCUUAAAAAAUUCAGACACCAUAACUAUUUAUGCAAUACCAGAUUCAUUUAUACAACAAAUGCUUUGAUUUUGAGUAGUCUUCACUCAUUUUUUGUGAAUUUUGUAAACAUGUCUGUUGUUGUUAUUGUGAUGACUUAAAGGUAAAAUCAAAAGAUUGCUAAAGAGACAUUGACUUAAUCACCUCCUAAUAAUGCAUAUAUAAGCUUUAAAACAGCAAAACCAAAUAUAUAUAAAAGAAAGACUUUAUGUACAGGAUAAACAUAAUGAUUGAUUCUGCUUGAUCUUUCAAUAACGAACGGGGAAAAAUAUGGGCAUAUAACCAAACUUAAGGGUUAUUAACAUUGGCUAUAGGAUACUGUGAUAAUUAAAUUGUAACUGGUCCAAACUGAAAACGACACCCUUUGAAGUUAAGAUGACAACAAAGGACAUAAUACAUUAUCAAGAACAUUUUGACAACGACAGGUGCAUGCUUAUCACAAUUAGUUGUUGACCAAACUAUGUUAAAGCUAAAAUAUGAAAACAAAAAAGGAAAAAUCCAUGGUUUUUUAAGCAAAACUUAAAAAAAAAACUGUUCCUUUUGGUUUAUUUCUCUAAUGUUGAAGACUGAAAGGACAGUAUGGGAUACCAUAGCAGUAAAUUUGUGUUCUUUAAGACAUGAAGCCAAAAUUUGACUAUAAUUAAAAAUGUCAAAAUUAAGAAUAUCUUAAUUUUUUAUUUUAUCAAUUAGGAUAAUUGUUAAAAAUAUCUUUGUAGUCUUUUUAAGGACAGACUUGAUUGAAAUUUCGUGAGUGAGAAUUUUAUUUGUUUAAUUAGGUUACAUAAUAUUAGGUUAAAUUAUAACAUUCAGACGUUUGUAGGUUAGGUUAUAAUUAACGUUGUAUAGGUUAUAUAAAUAAUAUUAUAUUAGGUUAGUAUGAAAAUAAUAUUAUAUUAGAAUAAAAUAUAAAGGAUAUUUUAAUAGGUGCUGUAUGUUAAUGUAGGUUUCUUUGUUCACUCGUUAUUUUAAUUCUUUAGUACUGGUAGUCAAAUAGAGUGGGGUCAUAUGCCUUAAAAUUUGGGAAGGUUGUACGCAUAUGAGAGAGAACAGAAAUGUGGCUAUUUCGGAAAUUUUGUUAGCUGGUGUGUAUUCAUGCACAAAUUUUUAUAGCUAGUACCGACUCAUUGUUUAUUGGGUUUUAGUUCAAUUGUGAUGUGAAUACUAUUUAUUCGUUCGGUGUGAUCUUGAUGAUGAUAAAAUACUAAGUGUUUGGCACAAAUGCAUGUUAGGGUGAUUAUUAAUGUGUGAUAAUAAUAUUCGAGCUGUAUUACAAGUAUCGUUGUAUUUGAAAUAUGUACUCUUAUUGUAUCGGUGUAAAAACUUAUGUAGUACCUUUCCUCUUUCAUGAGGGUAGAAAGAUAGGUCUCUUCGUCUAUAAAAGGUGAUAGAAGAGACAAGGCUCGAGUGCCAAUCUUUUCUCUUUCGAGAGGGCAGAAAGGGUUGGAUGACUCGAACUAUCAUGUUUUGGUGAACAGGUGUCAUAUGAUAGAGUACAAAAAGGACAAUGUGUAUCUUUUGUAUUUAUUGAUUUUGGUGUACUUAAUUGAAUAUAUCAUGUUAACUAUAUUACUUUAUUAACUAAUAAUUGAUGUGUUGAUGUGGUAUUAAAUGAAGAAUAUGGUGGCUUACCCUUAUUGUUUGUGUGUGAAUGCGAUGAUCGUAUAACUCGUGUUGUUAUACGGGAGUAGAUGUUAAUACAGAUGUUCCUGCAUAUAAUUAGAGCAGAAAGAAGUCGGGAAUAGAACGGGGAAAGAUUUCUUUUAGUUUUCGAACAUUUUCAGUAUAUUUGAUUUAUGUUAUUUUAUUUUAAGCUGACUUGGAAAUUACAAGGUUGUAAUAAAUGUCCUUUUAAUUGGAUUGUAUUGGAUUAUUGUUUAUUUCCUCAGCCUGAGAUUUGUAUGAAUGUUUUCUUUUGUUUUCGUUUUAAAGGAAUAAUUUUUUUUUAUCUCGUAACAAUCAGAAAUGGGAUGUUACAUUUAAUGUGUAGGUAUGAUUGUGGUAUGUUGGUGAUUAAAUAUAUGGAGUUAUGGGACCACUUACCUAAAUUUGAUGGGAACAAAAUUUCCUAUUACACAACGGUUUGUUUUAUUUAUGUAUAUGUUUAUUUGAAUAUGAUUUAUUGAUAAAAGUUUUUUAAGUGUAAUAUUUAACAAGAGUAUUGUUAUUGUAGGAACAAUUACAAAUUGUGCGACAAGAGAUGGUUUGUCAGUGGGUAUUACACGAAGAUAAUGUUCAUCGCACUAUGGUAUUGAAGAAAUUUGGGAUGCUUUAAUCAUUGAUUAACUCAUGAAGUUGUACAACAUGAACAAGUUUAAUACAUUGAAGUAGGGGAACAAUUAAUUUACAUAUUUAACAUAAUAUCAAUGAAAUAUGAUUGAUUAGGACACCAUGAAUGUUAUUGGUUUUUAGCAUGUUUAGUUUUUGUAAUGAAGAAUAUGUUUCACUAUUUAAUGUUUAUGAAUUUUAUGAUUGAUUAUAAAAUGCUUUAUGU
rnacentral:lncRNA from 1 species